GAUGAACGCUGGCGGCGUGCCUAAUACAUGCCAGUCGAGCGAACAGACGAGGAGCUUGCUCCUCUGACGUUAGCGGCGGACGGGUGAGUAACACGUGGAUAACCUACCUAUAAGACUGGGAUAACUUCGGGAAACCGGAGCUAAUACCGGAUAAUAUAUUGAACCGCAUGGUUCAAUAGUGAAAGACGGUUUUGCUGUCACUUAUAGAUGGAUCCGCGCCGCAUUAGCUAGUAGGUAAGGUAACGGCUUACCAAGGCAACGAUGCGUAGCCGACCUGAGAGGGUGAUCGGCCACACUGGAACUGAGACACGGUCCAGACUCCUACGGGAGGCAGCAGUAGGGAAUCUUCCGCAAUGGGCGAAAGCUUGACGGAGCAACGCCGCGUGAGUGAUGAAGGUCUUCGGAUCGUAAAACUCUGUUAUUAGGGAAGAACAAAUGUGUAAGUAACUAUGCACGUCUUGACGGUACCUAAUCAGAAAGCCACGGCUAACUACGUG
rnacentral:rRNA from 1 species